ACCAGGCACUGGCGACUGGCUGAGACCACCUGCCCCAUCUUGAUUAUCUAUGGCCCUUGUCCUGCACCAGCGCGACAAGCAGGACUUGGGCUAGGCUGCAUAGAAAACACAGGAUACUACCUCAAAGCACAGGGGAGCAGAUCUUCUGCACUUGAAGCAGGGACAGAGGAUGGACUCAGCCAUUACUGUGAUCUCAGGCAGACGGCAAAAUCCACAGUUUGAUGACACCUGGGUCCCAGAUUCAUCAGGAAAGUAGAAUCAAGUUCAGGUAUGAAGAAGCCAUGGGGAAGGGUUCUGGAAGUGAAGGGUAAGCAAGAUGGAGCACAAGGGAGAUUCUGGCCAUCCAGUGGCUAUCUUUCCACUGGUUCACCCAGCGCUUUCCUUUCCCUAUGGAAAACUUCCCUUUGAGAGGAUUUUGAUAGUAUCAGGAUGAUGAGGAGGGAGUUUCUGAAACAUCUGUCCCUUCUGGCACUUAAGUUCUGGGGCUCUGGGCUGGUACCAAGUUAUUGGUGUGACCCAAACUCAACAGAUGAGCCGACCAGCAGAAAUUGGGGGGGCGAGGGCAGGGGACAGGAGGCAAAGAAUCUCUGUGGCGAGCCUGCGGGGAAGAUGCCUUUAGCUCUGGGGUCUGGGGCUGCUCUCCUGGGCUAGUUCCUCUGCCCUAAUGGUCAUAAUUAUGGUUUGGGGAGCAGGGUGGCCUUGCAGGAGCUGACCAUGGGGCCACCUGGCUUCCUGUUUCUUCUGGCCUUGGUGAUCUCAGAUGACUGGUGCCCAUGCAAUUAGACAAGGGCCUUGGUCUGUCCUCUGGGAGGAACUCACCGGCUUAUCAGCAGCCAAUGUCCUUGUGAGGCCACAAGUGGGGGGAGUGGGGAAAAGCAACCUUGGCUGGGGUCGGGCCUGAGGAGAGCUGGUUCCCUUGGGUGGGACUGAAGGGAGACAAGGGAGAAGGUGGCAGGCUGAAUCAGGUUUGGGCUUGUGGCUCCUCAGCAGCUGCUCACCACUUUCCAAGAGAGCGGCUGUGAAGAGGAGCCCACUUUGUUCCCAUCUGCCUCCACUGGUGACAGACGCGAAGGCCAGCCUGAGAGGCGGGUGGUACCUUGAGUGCAGCUAGGGAAACCUUGACUGCUACCUGGAGGCUGGUGAACAGAGAAAGGGUAUGCUGGGUACCUGACAGGGGCGCCACACAUGGAGAGCAUGGCCUUCUUGGCUCUGUCAAAUCCCCAGAGUGAUCUCACCCCCUUCACCUUACCCUGUCUCCCCGAAGGCUGUUUGCUCUGCUACUCCUUUUUUUUUUUUUGCCUUUCUGCUAAAUGUCUGGGUCUCUUUCUUGUCUUUAUACCAGAAACACAUGAUACUAGGUACAUACAGGCAUCUGCUUGGUGCUCCUGACCAUACAGGACUGCGACCACCCCUGCUCUGUAAAGGAAGACGCAGAGGCUCCUCCAGGAGCAACUUCUUAGUUCUUACGGGGAACCAGGAUUCAGUCCUUGAUCAGUCUGCCUCUAGCUUUUGCUUUUCGGCCAUGCUCCCUCACUAGAAAAUGACUGAGGGCAGAGCCAGGCAACAACAGGGGAAUCAG